rnacentral:rRNA from 1 species
UACAGAGGUGGCAAGCGUUGUUCGGAAUUACUGGGCGUAAAGGGCGCGUAGGCGGCCUUCUAAGUCAGACGUGAAAUCCCCAGGCUUAACCUGGGAACUGCACUCGAGACUGCAUUGCUAGAGUAUGGGAGAGGGAAGUGGAAUUUCCGGUGUAGCGGUGAAAUGCGUAGAUAUCGGAAGGAACAUCAGUGGCGAAAGCGACUUCCUGGACCAAUACUGACGCUCAUGUGCGAAAGCGUGGGGAGCGAACAGG